AUGCUACCACGCUGCUGCUGGUUUCGCUGUUCGGGCGGGACCCUUUUUUCUUCAUCGCCUCCGUCGCGGCGUCGCGCCGUCUCUCCGGUAGCGCUCGGGGGCUCGACAUCAACCUGCCCCCAAAGCGACCGCGAGGGAUGGCGCGUCUUCGCCGUCGGCCUCUUUGUCACCACUCCGACGCCGGCUAUCCGUCCGCGCGCGCGCCGUGCGCGGGGCCUCGUUUCGGUCGACCGUGGCCAUCCACGCGCCGCUUGCGUUUGCUUCCCUCCGUGUUACGCCUUGCUUUGGCCGGCACGUGAGCGUUCGCUCAUCCAUACAUUGUCUAUGUAA
rnacentral:rRNA from 1 species